CAGCCGCCGCGGGAAUACAGAGGGUGCGAGCGUUAAUCGGAUUUACUGGGCGUAAAGCGUGCGUAGGCGGCUUCUUAAGUCGGAUGUGAAAUCCCUGAGCUUAACUUAGGAAUUGCAUUCGAUACUGGGAAGCUAGAGUAUGGGAGAGGAUGGUAGAAUUCCAGGUGUAGCGGUGAAAUGCGUAGAGAUCUGGAGGAAUACCGAUGGCGAAGGCAGCCAUCUGGCCUAAUACUGAUGCUGAGGUACGAAAGCAUGGGGAGCAAACAGGAUUAGAUACCCGUGUAGUCCCUGUCUCUUAUAC
rnacentral:rRNA from 1 species